rnacentral:rRNA from 1 species
AUUGAACGCUGGCGGCAGGCCUAACACAUGCAAGUCGAACGAGUGGCGGACGGGUGAGUAAUGUCUGGGCAACUGCCUGAUGGAGGGGGAUAACUACUGGAAACGGUAGCUAAUACCGCAUACCAUCGGAUGUGCCCAGAUGGGAUUAGCUAGUAGGUGGGGUAAAGGUUAACCUAGGCGACGAUCCCUAGCUGGUCUGAGAGGAGGACCUGCCACACUGGAACUGAGAAACGGUCCAGACUCCUACGGGAGGCAGCAGUGGGGAAUAUUGCACAAUGGGGGGAAGCCGGAUGCAGACAGGCCGCGUGUAUGAAGAAGGCCUUCGGGUUUUAAAGUACUUUCAGCGGGGAGGCGUUACCCGAAGAAGAAGCACCGGCUAACUCCGUGACAGCAGCCGCGGUAAUAC